GCCUUCUUAACCUAUAGCUCAGUCGGUAGAGCAUGAGGCUCUUAAUCUCAGGGUUGUGGGUUUGAGCCUCAUUUUGGGCA